GAGGGUGGGCCCCUCGAAGUCGACUUGCAGGAGUUGGCUUCAAAUCACCUCAAGCUGCGCGGGUAAAGAGUCCGCGUGGUGAGCGUUGAGGAAAAGGCGGAGAGAAAUUCUGUCAGA
rnacentral:ncRNA from 1 species